AUUGAACGCUGGCGGCAUGCCUUACACAUGCAAGUCGAACGGCAGCACGGGAGCAAUCCUGGUGGCGAGUGGCGAACGGGUGAGUAAUAUAUCGGAACGUGCCCAGUCGUGGGGGAUAACGCAGCGAAAGCUGUGCUAAUACCGCAUACGAUCUACGGAUGAAAGCGGGGGAUCGCAAGACCUCGCGCGAUUGGAGCGGCCGAUAUCAGAUUAGCUAGUUGGUGAGGGAAAGGCUCACCAAGGCGACGAUCUGUAGCUGGUCUGAGCGGACGACCAGCCACACUGGAACGGAGACACGGUCCAGACUCCUACGGGAGGCAGCAGUGGGGAAUUUUGGACAAUGGGCGAAAGCCUGAUCCAGCAAUGCCGCGUGCAGGAUGAAGGCCUUCGGGUUGUAAACUGCUUUUGUACGGAACGAAACGGUGAGCUCUAAUACAGUUUGCUAAUGACGGUACCGUAAGAAUAAGCACCGGCUAACUACGUGCCAGCCGCCGCGGUAACUC
rnacentral:rRNA from 1 species